rnacentral:rRNA from 1 species
AUUGAACGCUGGCGGCAGGCCUAACACAUGCAAGUCGAGCGAGCGGCGGACGGGUGAGUAAUGUAUGGGGACUGCCCGAUAGAGGGGGAUAACUACUGGAAACGGUAGCUAAUACCGCAUACUAUCGGAUAACCCAUAUGGGAUGAGCUAGUAGGUGAGGUAAUGGCCCACCAAGGCGACGAUCCCUAGCUGGUCUGAGAGGAUGAUCAGCCACACUGGAACUGAGACACGGCCCAGACACCAACGGAGGCAGCAGUGGGGAAUAUUUCACAAUGGGCGCAAGCCGGAUGCAGCCAUGCCGCGGGUAUGAAGAAGGCCCUAGGGUUGUAAAGGAGUUUCAGUCGGGAGGCGUUACCGACAGAAGAAGCACCGGCUAACUCCGUGCCAGCAGCCGGGGUAAUUC